ensembl:lncRNA LINC00297 long intergenic non-protein coding RNA 297
GUUUAGGGCCUCCUUCAGGAGACAGAUGACUCUGACCGGGGAUCAGGGUCAGGGCUGGCAUCUCUGCUCUGGCUAAAAUUCAAAUUUUACAUGUAUCUCUAUGAGGUGGGCAUUUUGCUGUCAAAGGUUUUAUGGAUGGUUCUAGAUGUGGAAACAGAUUAUUAAAAGGAAAAGCAAAGCCUUGCUUGGCAGAGCUUACACUUCUCAAGCAUUGACCUGAGCCUUAAAUUUUGCAACUGUAAUUUUAGAGGAUGCAGGACACACAUCCUGUUUUGGAGGCUGUUUUGGAGGAGCAGGAAGACAAAAAAAGAGAUGCUGUGGACUCAGUUCUCAAAGGCAAGUGGUGGCAGAACACCAGGAAGAAAUCAGUUAGCGGGGAAAAACCACAUGGCUUAGAGUCUAGUGAACAACAGCUUAAAGGGGAAUACAGGUAGAAAACAGAAGACAGUUCCAAAAGGGAGACUUAAUUUUUAUUUCCAUGAAAGCUGAGCAUCAGAAGAGACCUAUUUUUUGGGUCAGAGACGUUUAACUGGGAGCUCUGUCAGACCUGGGACUAGAAUCGAGAGCCCAGCAGAAACACUGCUCUGGUAUUCAGGAAGAAUAGCUUGGCUUGGAAUGGGAAGAAGAGUGGGACUCAAGAAUACAGACUUUGCAGGAGUCCAGCAGAAAUCAGUUGGUAAAAACAGACCUGACUCGUGAGGCUGGACAGAGUCCUCCACGCCUUGGGAUCUGAGUCACUGGAACCAAACUAGACUCUAUUUUACUUCCUAUAACCACCUGCCUGGACAGAUUGCACCCUUGUCAGUUACCAUCAGGGGAGAGUUGUUUUCUUCACCACGGUCACAAAGACUGGCCUUCAUGUGUGUGCUAUCAUGGUGAUGACUUCCCAGGGAGGAAAGUACAGGGAGGAUGA